GUGGAUGUAGCUCAGCUCGGUUAGAGCACUAGAUUGUGGUUCUAGGGGUCGGGGGUUCAAAUCCCCUCAUCCACCCCA
rnacentral:tRNA from 1 species